AACGAACGCUGGCGGCAUGCCUAACACAUGCAAGUCGAACGAGACCUUCGGGUCUAGUGGCGCACGGGUGCGUAACGCGUGGGAACCUGCCCUUAGGUUCGGAAUAACUCCCCGAAAGGGGUGCUAAUACCGGAUAAUGUCUUCGGACCAAAGAUUUAUCGCCUUUGGAUGGGCCCGCGUUGGAUUAGCUAGUUGGUAGGGUAAAAGCCUACCAAGGCGACGAUCCAUAGCUGGUCUGAGAGGAUGAUCAGCCACACUGGGACUGAGACACGGCCCAGACGACGGAGGGAGGCGGCAGUAGAGAAGAGGGAAGAACGGGAGAAAGCAUGAGCAGUGAAGGACGUGGUAGUAAAGAAUGUCGUUGGUUUGUAAAGUGUUGUUCCCCGUGAAGACAAAGACAGAACAGGGAGAAGAAGCCGCCGCAAACUCCGUCACAGCGGCCGGGGUAAUAAUCGGAAGAGAACCCGUAUGAAU
rnacentral:rRNA from 1 species